UGUCGUCUGGAAAAAUUCCAUUUCGAAAUGGAAUCGAGAGAGAGAGAGAGAGAUAGAAAUUCUUCUUCUUUCGCGGAUCAAUCUUGUGGGUUACAGGAGGGAGGAGUGUUAAUUGGAGGGGAGGCGAGUGGUGGAUCGGCCCAUUGAUAAAGUGGCACGAGUCCGUUCGCUUCGUUCGAUUCCACGGUUCGUUGUCCGAGUAAUCGAGUACGCUUUUUACUUUCUAGAUUUUAUUUUAUUCGUUGGAGGGAAGUAAAGAAUAAAAAGAAGGAGAAGGGGAAAUAUUUGCAACGAAAUCGAAGAUCGUGGAAAUACACAGUAAGUGAAAUACUUUUUACUUUCUAGAUUUUACUUUAUUCGUUGGAGGGGAGUAAAGAAAAAAAAGGAAAAUAAAUAUUUGCAACGAGAAGAUUGUACAUACAAUACACACGAUCUUGAGGAAUUGUUUGAGUAAUUACGUUAAGUACGUUGUUUGAGUAAUUGAAAUAUUUUUUACUUUCUAGAUUUUAUUUUAUUCGUUGAAGAGAAGUAAAGAAUAAAAAGAAGGAGAAGGGGAAAUAUUUGCAACGAGAUCGAAGAUCGUGGAAAUACACAGUUGAAUUUUAUUCGUGACUCGUUGGAGGGAAGUAAAGAAUAAAAAAAAGAAGAAGGGGAAAUAUUUGCAACGAGAUCGAAGAUCGUGAAAAUACACAGUUGAGUAAUACUUUUUACUUUUUAGAUUUUAUUCGUGACUCGUUGAAGGGAAUAAAAAGAAGAAGAAGAUUUUGAUCACACGAUCUUGAGAAAUUACGCGGAUGUUUACGAAUUCAAAUCUGAUAAAACAUUAAUAACUGAUUGGUAGAAAGAAAUCUAUUCAAUCUCAUUUUUUAAACGAGGCGUUUUUCCAUCCUUUUUCGUCUCGCCCCCGCGUUGUCUCCUCCCCCGAUAUUUAUUAUUUCGGUGUAAUUAACAAGGGAAGGAAACAUCGAUACCUCAAUCUCCAUGUCAAUUAAGGUGAAUCGAGCUUGUCAAAAUGCCAACGCGCCUUCUCCCUCCCCUCUUUCCAACCCUUUGCCUUUGCGUUUAAUAUCGAUAACCCGCCCGACAAAAUCAACCACUAAAAAUGUAUUACACCUUCGAUAGACAAUGUAUUACAAACCGGUAGAUAAUCGCAAUUUUCCACGAUCCUGUCGCGAUCCGCGAUUAAAAGAAGAUUGAAUCAAUUUGAUUUCCAAGUUCCCCUCUUUUAACGUGGAAAAAUUUCUAAAAGGAAGAAGAGUGACCAGAUGAGCCCAAAAAAAAAAUUUUAAGCGUAAAUAUCGAAUUAAAAUUGUUUUAUCGACGCCAUUGAUGAGCGCGCUUGGAAAAGGAAGUUCAGUUCGAGGCCAUUUAGAAAUUGGAAACUUGUCAAACAGAGAUUUCGCGAGCACCGCGUAUGAAAGGUUGAUGUGAAAAAAGGAAAAAGCGCGCCAAAUUUCGAUGCAGAAGGAUUCGAAUAUUCUCUGCCGAUUUUUGACACGCUUCCGAUUGAUCCGAUUGAUCUCGACAAAAUUCGAAUCUUCUCGCUCAUUCGUUUACACGAAUAAAUAAUAACACAGAGAGCGCGGAAGACUAGAGCGAUCGAGUGGAUCCGGCAACCAAUUUCGAUCUCGGUUCGAUUCGGGUCAAGCGUUCUUUUUCAAUCUGAAUCGGAUUCGCCCCGAUAAAUAUUAAACGCGAGGCGGGAAACUUUCCAACCGAAAACGAAAUUAAAAUGGUUAAAACGAAAGCGAUUGGAAGGGGCGGAUGAUAAUCGAGAAUGGAACGAUCGUCUUGACCCGAUUCCCGCCAAUGUUUUUCUCUUCUUCCCCCUCCUUUAAGCGUGUAAUUCGAGAACACUGUCCUUGGUUCGGAUUAAGAAAAAAGGAAAAAAGCUCGACACGAUCGACCGCGAGAAAUGACUUCGAUCCGCUCCCGAUUCCUCUUGUAUGGAAAUGAAAACUGAUUCUUUCUCCCCUCCUCCUUCUCCUCGUCGCAUCCUUGAUUUUCGGUGGAAAAAAAACCGAGGCUAUCCUUGGAUCGUGACGAGCGGAUCACCUUCUUCUUCUUUAAAUUUUCAACCGCGAUCACCUUCGAGCGAGCUGGGGAAGGGACGCGCGGGGCGAACGGAAAGAAGACGUUCGAAUAAGGAAGGGAAGCGGAGAGGCGGACCGCGAUUGGCCGGGAACAAGCUCCCGUAAAAGGGCUUGUCUGCUGUCCCAGUUUUCAGCGGCGCGUGCGUUCCCUUCAUCUGCAUAAUACAACUUGUUUCAUAAUACGGUUGAGGGCCUCGAGGCCAUACUUGGCCGACGUUUCGAUACCCUCGGGCUUCGAGCCAACAGAUACGCACGAGAGAUACAGGUGAUGUACGUAUAUGCAUGUGUAUGCACGUGCGUUUGUGGAAUCAAUCGCGAGAUUUAACCCCUUCCAGGUUGUAACGAACGUCUGUUAGGAACGUAAAAUCGCGUUAAAAAUUACAGAGAUCUUAUCUUUUCUUUAAAUUAUUUGAACUGGAUCUAAUACGUUGAAGUGGGAAACGAGAUUGUUUGCGAUACGUAAGAGAUACGUAAGGAAAUUUAACCCUUUUGAAAAUAACGAGAUAUCUUAGAAGGUACGAUCAUUGAAAACUAGAACGAUUCUCUAUUAUUUCUUUAUUACUAUUAUUAUUAUUUUAUUACGAAAUAAUCGCGUAUUGAAAU